CUGAGGCUAAUUGUUUGUCUGUAGGUGAUAAAUGUCAUAAACUGUUUUAUGAACUGUGUUCAUCUGUUAGUCACUGAGGUUCCAUCAACAGCAUCACUGCUGAUGUUUUUCAGCAGCAGAGGAGAUCUGUGGUGUGGUUGGCAGGGCUGGCAUGUGCCUGAAGUCUGGAGGAGACGACACCAGCUGCAUCCCCACUGGGGGGCGCUGUUGGUGGUGGGAAUAUGGGAAAUCCACUUCAGUGUAAUCAUCUCCAUUCAUGUCAUCGUUAGUCUGAAAGAAAAGUGACGUCAAACGUCAGAAUCUAAAUUAAAUGAUAACGUUGCCUUUAGUGUGUUG
ensembl:lncRNA